rnacentral:rRNA from 1 species
AAAAUGUGAAAAAGUGCCUACAAGCUUGGAUCCACCAUGCCGCGUGAGUGAUGAAGGCCUUAGGGUCGUAAAGCUCUUUCGCCUGUGAUGAUAAUGACAGUAUCUGGUUAGAAACCCCGGCUAACUCCGUGCCAGCAGCCGCGGUAAUACGGAGGGGGUUAGCGUUGUUCGGAAUUACUGGGCGUAAAGCGUACGUAAGCGGAUUAGUAAGUUAGAGGUGAAAUCCCGGGGCUCAACCCCGGAACUGCCUUUAAUACUGCUAGUCUUGAGUUCGAGAGAGGUGAGUGGAAUUCCGAGUGUAGAGGUGAAAUUCGUAGAUAUUUGGAGGAACACCAGUGGCGAAUGCGGCUCACUGGCUCGAUACUGACGCUGAAGUGCUAAAGUGUGGGGAGCAAACAGGAUUACAUACCCUGGUAUUCCACACCGUAAACGAUGAAUGCCAUUCGUCAGGAAACAUGCUAUUCGGUGACACUCCUAACGGAUUAAGCAUUCCGCCUGGGGAGUACGGUCGCAAGAUUAAAACUCAAAGGAAUUGACGGAGGU